AGCUAACUUUCGUGUACCCUGGUUUCCAUGCUCAUUCCAUCGCAACUUAACUCCUCUUUUCCCUUCCCGUCGGUUUCGUUGUCCCCUUCCGAUUCCGCCACUGCGUGCUCCGCCUCUCCUGCUUCGAUGGCUCUGCAAUCAUCGGCUUCUUAGUUUCCAAGAGCCUCAACGAUCUUCUCGCUACAAUUACUACCUCCGAAGACUGCUUGGCCUUUCCAAUCACUGGUCGCCCCACAACCGCCGGCUGUUUUUAUGGAGUUUGUGGGUGUCUGUUGACCUUAAAAGCUGGGGAAUUUGAAAUUCGGUGAGUUGGAUCUCAGCGGCUAGGAAAGGCCGGUUUUUGAUAAAGAUGAUUAGGAGGCAGGACAUCGGCAAGGGUUUUCCACUGUUCUUUCUGCUUCUGGCCUUCGGGUCUUUCAUUGCUACCUACAAUCUCGUCGCGAUGGUUAUCCACUACCGGCGGCGAGAGUCGGUGAACCAGCUCCGUGUUGAUAAUUUUGCCAGUGGGAUGCUUAAGAUUGGGAGAUUGCGCGUUCAGAGGCAACUGUUUCACGUUGCGGCCACUGCAAUUGAUGCAGCGUAUAGCAGGUGGCAGUGCCGGAUAAUGCACUACUGGUACAAGGAGAUGAAACAUGGCGAGGGGUCGGAGAUGGGAGGGUUCACCAGGGUCCUCCACUCUGGAAAGCUGAUAGCCUGAUGGAUGAGAUCCUCAAUGAUUAAAUAAAUUUACAAUCACAAAUGAAAGUCACUAAUUAUAAGUAAAUAUUAAACAUAUAACAAUAAUUAACAAAAUACUCUAUAUUUUGCAUUGCUAUUAAAAAAACACAAUAAAAUAUAUAAUUCAAUAGGUUAUAGUCAUUGAUCCAAAUUCCAAGAAAAAACAUAGCUAAUAGCAAGAUAAUUACUAAAAGUUAAAGACUAUUAUGUAUGUGAUACUUUGCUAAGAAGCCCAAGUUACUUGUGGUGUUUUAUGCAAAAUCUAUCCCACGUUAACUUAAUCAUAUGCAAUAUCUAGAGGACUAACAGUUUUCUCAAAUUUUUUUCCUAGUCAUCUCUUCAAUGCUAAGUGCUGCAGACAAAUAGUUGCUAGCUCCUUACCAAAAUUUUCUCAUUUGGCUGAUUGCGAAUAGGCCCUUAAAGUAAGUAUUGUUGUUUGACAAUUGAUCAAGUUAUUCCACUGAAAAUUUUGUACAUGGCAGUUUCUUUCACCAUAAAAAUGCAUUUAACAGUAUCAGACAAGUGCAUGUAACUUCUUCACUAUUGAACUAUUUAUCAAUGCUCCCUUGUUGCUUCAAUCACUCUGAGUGUGUCUUUGGUUCAUGACUUUUGCAAAUAUUUACCAACGGAGGAUAUUAUUCUCUACUGCUUCAUUGAUGUGGUUCCAGGGGUACAUUGCCCUAAACAGACCUUUGGCCUUUGUGUAAUGGCUGGAGAAGCAACUAUUGAGGAGUAAACUAUUUUCCUUUGAGAACAUUGUGCCAUUUGACUCUAUCUGUGUUUCUUUAUGAGCAAAACAGAGCUAUCUGUGUUGCAUCUAAAAAACUGCAGGUAUGUAUUGAUAGCAGAACCAGAUCAUAUUUUUGUCAAACCGUUGCCAAACUUGGCUCGCGAAGAUUAUCUUGCAGGAUUUCCAAUCUUCUAUAUCAAACCAACUGAACAUGUAGACAUUAUGAGGAAGUUUUUUCGAGAAGAAAAAGGUCCUAUAACUAAUAUUGACCCUAUUGGCAGCUCCCCUGUGAUAAUUAAAAAGGUAAAUCAUGACUCCUUUUGAUCAUUAGUUUUUGUAACAUGUGCUUGCAAUUCACUAGGCCACAUAUACUUCUUUUGAAUGUAAUCCCUGUGUCAUUGGUUCUAUAUCAAACUAUUUCUUCCACAAUUUUCUUGGAACUAUCAAACAAGUUUUGCAA